CUCAGCGCGCUGAGCUGUCUUGGCAGCUAAGAGGUUCUCGCUAAAUAUGUUUGAAUGUGUGCGCUGGGCAGACGGCCCCUGAGUACUGGCGACUGGACUUCUUCCUCUGAGUACGACAUGCUGCUGGGGGCUCAGCUGGGGCCUUUUGCCAGAUCUGGGCAGGGUCUGCUCAGCGGUUUUCGCUCCUGGGCUGAUGGACAAAUGCUGGGACUUUUUGAUCUGGGACUCUGACGGUGUCAUAGCAGAGGGAAAAGAGACGCCAUGACUCACUCACUGAUCCUCAGCACUUCUGUCUGGAAGUGACACCUGUCACUUCUGCUCACAUUUCAUUGGCCAAUGCAAGUCCUCUGGCUGAGCCUAAACUCUCCUGGGAGAGCAAAGGAUAAUUCUCCCCUGAUGACCAAAAAUAAAGUUUACCGCAG
rnacentral:lncRNA from 1 species